rnacentral:lncRNA from 1 species
GGGAGAAGUAUUAGCUCUGAGUCAUUAAGUGGUACCGAGGAAGGUGUUAGAAAAGCAGAGCUGGAAUAAAUUGAAAUCAAAAGAAUAGUGCUGAAAUCUGUACUGAUGAAAGUGAAUUAGACAUUAACCUGAAUUAACAUGGACAGGUGACCUUGCCAUUCCACAGCAUAGUCUCAGAGAAAAGAUUUAUUUUUAAAAGGUAAAUUCCUCACACCUCCUGUUUCUAGAAUUAGCAAACUGUGAACUACUAGAAGGAGCUUAAAAGUUGACAAAGGGCUACUUUAUUCUCCCACAUUAAAAAAAAAAACCUUUUUAUAAAAUAAUGAUAUAAAUACUGGAAAUUGCAAAAAUAUUUCAGAGAGUAAAUUUUACCCAGUUUCCCCCAAUGGUUACAUUGUAUAUAACCAGCACAAUAUCAAAAGCAGAUUGUCAAUUGGUACAGCAUGUAGGUAUGGUUCUAUGUGUGCCAUUUCCACAUGUGUUGAUUCAUGUAAACACCACUACAAUCAAGAUACAAAACUAUUCCAUCACUACAAAGAUCUCUCUUGCGUUACUCCUAUUGAGUCACACUCACACCCCUAUUCCUAACCCCAGGACACCAUUACUCUUUGCCAUGUCUAUAAUUUUGUUAUUUCAAGAAUGUUACUUAAAUGGAAUCAUACAAGAGUGUGGUCUUUUGAGACUGAUUUCUUUCAUUCAGCACAAUGCCAUUGAGAUCCAUCCAAGUUGUGUGUAUCAAUAAUUCUUUCAUUUGCUGAGUAGUAUUCAGUAGCAUGGAUUACCACAAUUUGCUUAAGUAUUCACCUACUGAGGGACAUUUUCAUUGUUGCUAUUCCAGAUAAGGCCACUAUGGACAUUUGUAUAUAGGUUUGUAUGGACAAAAUUUUCAUUUAUCUGGGAUAAAUGCCCAGGAAUGCAACAAAUGAGUUGUAGAAUGGCUGUAUGUUUAGGUUUUUAAGAAAGUGACAGCAUGUAGUUGGAUCAUGUCUUUAAUUUUCUUUGCCAGGAAAGUGGUAGGACCCAGGUUUCCUACUUGACCUCAGUGGGUACCCCUGGGGUGAUGGAGAAGGGCAGCUCACUACUGCUUGGAUAGUGGGAGUUCUGGCUCGUUCCUGGGCCUCCACUGAUACCACCUCACGUGGGAAGGGGAAGGGGCUCAUUGCUCCCCAUGCCGUCUCCACUGAUGCCAUGGUGGUGCUCAUUACCCCUGGAAGAUGGUGAAAGUCUUGGCUUCCCACUUGGAAUUCUCUGACACCACCCUGAUAGUAGGGCUUGGGGGACAGCUCAUUUCAGCCAGGUGCAAAUGGAAGUUGAGCCCCCCCCCCCACUUUGCCUUUGCUGAUAGAAGUGGAGUGGGGCUACAGUGUUUGGUUGGAGUAGGCUACCCCCUUGUUGAUUCCUUAGCUAAAUAGCCAGGUUUUCUUGUUUUUUCCUUUUCUUUUUUGUCUGUGCUUUUGGUGCUUCUGGAUUGCUAGUUUCAAUAGCAUUCACUCCAGGAUAAAUGAAGUAAAAGCAAGCCUGGACAAAUUACUACUUUCUUUCCUCAGAUCUCAAGCUUCCCAGCUAAUCUUCCUUCUUCUCUCCACUUUUUCAGAGUUUUCUUAUGUUGUUGUUUAUAUAUGUCCAGAGUUUUUGACAUUUAGCAAGAAUAAGGAGAAGUGUGUCUUUUCCAUCAUGGUCCAGAAUCAGAAGUCUGACAAGGGCUUUUAAAUGGCCAUUGCUCCUUCAAGAACAUAAAUAUGAUCAUCUCUCAACCCUUCUUGAAAACCUUCUUUUCAUAACACCCAACUUUAUGGACAAAAGGUCCCAAAGGACAAAAUCUCAACCUCUUAACAUUAAACAUUUAAGGCUUUUCACUAUCUCACCACAGGGAACAGCAGUCACAUUUUCUGCAGCUCCUCACUGUGCACGCGUACUGUCCAGCUAUGUGGAAUUUUUUUAUGUGCCAUUUCUUAAGUAUACCAUGCUUUUCAUGCAUUGUUGUUCUGCCCAUGCCAGUGUACACGCAUUGUUGGUCCUGCCUUUCUCCUCUUUACUUGGCAUGUCCCUAGCUCUGCCUCACACCUGCUUCUCUUGUGGCCUACUGUGAAGCCUUUCCGGCCUUUUCCAGAGUUAGUGAACCAUGUGCCUGCCUAGGAGUGUGAACAUACGUCUAUAAGAUGUUUCUUGUUUCGAGUUGAUCUCUUCCACAAGGGUUCUUUGCAGUGGAAUUAUACCUCCUUACAUCUCUGUCCAAUUCAACUGUGACUUUGAGAUUAGGGACUGUACCUCUGUGAUUGAUCAGUGUAUCUUCAGUGCAUAGCACUGUGCCUUGCAUAUAGUUGGCAUUCAAAAGGUGUUGGCUAGGAGUUCCCCUUCUGGUGCAGUGGAAAUGAAUCCAAUUAGUAUCCAUGAGCAUGCGGGUUCGAUCCCUGGCCUCGCUCAGUGGGUGAGGGGUCUGGCGUUGCCAUUGAGCUGUGGUGUAGGUCGCAGACACAUCUCAGAUCCCUCAUUGCUGUGGCCGUGGUGUAGGCUGGCAGCUGUAGCUCCUCCCCAUUCAACCCCUAGCCUGGGAACUUUCGUAUGCCGUGGAUGUGGCCCUAAAAAGUGAAAAAAAAAAUGUGUUAGCUAAAUGAAUAAAUAAAUGAAUUGUUACUUUCAGAUACUAAAGUAACCAAAAAUUGACCUCAGCUUGUGUGACUAGACUACCUGAAGCUGCCUUUUAUCAUUGCCAUGUAUUCCUUUUCAUUUCUCCCCCAAACAAAGUGACUUUGGGAGACCGUAACAAUUUCACCUCCCCCAGUCUGCUCCUCACUUCCUGAGGUCUGCCUCCCUACAGGUUGUCCUUACAUGUAUCUGCUGCCACCACUGGUUAACUGAGAGCAGGGCUGCCCCUGGUUUGGCUGAUAGUCAUCUCCAAAGCCCAUUCUUGAAAACAGUAUGAACCACCAGCCCAGUCCUAAGUAGGCAGGAGCCCCUCCUUUUGACCACUUACAUCAAUGCUGGGGCUUUCUUUGCCAAGCCCUUCCAAAGAUACUGUCUUUUAUUGAGAAACAAAAUGUUUUUGGAUGCGUUGGCACCUUGUUUAUCUUUUGAUUGUGUUGGCUGGAAGAAGUUUAAAAGCAACUCUUCAUAGUGAGAUUUCAGCAUCUGAUAUAUUUGAGAUAAUAACAGCUUCUUUCAUUUUUAUGACAUUUUACUCAACCUGUACAUACAUCCAUACAUGUCAGCCCCAAAUUAUUCAACAUGUGUUAUCAUAAUUCUUGUAGUAGUUCAGUGAGUGAAGUUGUAUACACAGAGAUAGCCAUAUACAUAUACAUUCUCACACACACACAUACGCAAUAUUAAGACCCUGCAGGUCAGAUCUAUUCUCUUAUACCCACUGACACUUUUUAAGGACUCUGAUCCUUGGCAAGCUAUAGUUCUCAUAGUGAUCAUUGGUUUCUGUCAAAGUUACAGUCAAUAUCUGAUCCUAGUGCUAUAUAUAAGCUCAUGCACUUACAAUAGUUGCUCCACCUACCAAACAUAUUUAAUAUGGCCAGACUUUUUAUAUGCAUAAUUUAAAAUUCUUAUAGCCACCCUGCAAGAUAGAUGUCGUUAUCCACAUUUUACAGAUCAGAGAACUAAGUUUAGAGAAGUAGUAAAGCCAGAGUUGCCUCAAAUCCCAUGUUUUUGUCACUACACUACCUGGCUUUUCAAUAAAAAUAUGAAAU